GUCGAGGGGUAUUGGUUUUCGGACCAAGAGACCGGCGCACGGGUGCGUAACGCGUAUGCAAUCUACCUUUCACAGAGGGAUAGCCCAGAGAAAUUUGGAUUAAUACCUCAUAGCAUUAUAGCUUCGCAUGAAGCCACAAUUAAAGUCACAACGGUGAAAGAUGAGCAUGCGUCCCAUUAGCUAGUUGGUAAGGUAACGGCUUACCAAGGCUACGAUGGGUAGGGGUCCUGAGAGGGAGAUCCCCCACACUGGUACUGAGACACGGACCAGACUCCUACGGGAGGCAGCAGUGAGGAAUAUUGGACAAUGGGCGCAAGCCUGAUCCAGCCAUGCCGCGUGCAGGAUGACGGUCCUAUGGAUUGUAAACUGCUUUUGUACAGGAAGAAACAGUUCUACGUGUAGAACCUUGACGGUACUGUAAGAAUAAGGAUCGGCUAACUCCGUGCCAGCAGCCGCGGUAAUACGGAGGAUCCAAGCGUUAUCCGGAAUCAUUGGGUUUAAAGGGUCCGUAGGCGGUUUAGUAAGUCAGUGGUGAAAGCCCAUCGCUCAACGGUGGAACGGCCAUUGAUACUGCUAGACUUGAAUUAUUAGGAAGUAACUAGAAUAUGUAGUGUAGCGGUGAAAUGCUUAGAGAUUACAUGGAAUACCAAUUGCGAAGGCAGGUUACUACUAAUGGAUUGACGCUGAUGGACGAAAGCGUGGGUAGCGAACAGGAUUAGAUACCCUGGUAGUCCACGCCGUAAACGAUGGAUACUAGCUGUUGG
rnacentral:rRNA from 1 species